AUACUUCCGUAGCACAUAUACUAAAAUUGGAACAAUACAGAGAAGAUUAGCCUGGCCCUUGCACAGGAUGAUGCACAAGUUCAUGGAGUGUUUUAUAUUUCU